rnacentral:rRNA from 1 species
GUGUCAGCCGCCGCGGUAAUACGUAGGGGGCGAGCGUUGUCCGGAGUUACUGGGCGUAAAGCGCACGCAGGCGGUCUGUGAAGUUUGGAGUGACAGUUGGUGGCUCAACCACCAAAGUGCUUUGAAAACUGAUAGACUUGAGGGCUUCAGAGGGACACGGAAUUCCGGGUGGAGUGGUGAAAUGCGUAGAGAUCCGGAGGAACACCAAAGGCGAAGGCAGUGUCCUGGGGAGUACCUGACGCUCAGGUGCGAAAGCCAGGGGAGCGAACGGGAUUAGAAACCCCGGUAGUCC